GGACCCAUGGCGCAACGGUAGCGCGUUCGACUCCAGAUCGAAAGGUUAUCUGUUCGAAUCAGGUUGGGUUCA